rnacentral:rRNA from 1 species
UACAGAGGGGGCUAGCGUUGUUCGGAAUUACUGGGCGUAAAGCGCGCGUAGGCGGCUUUGCAAGUUAGGAGUGAAAUCCCAGAGCUUAACUUUGGAACUGCUUUUAAGACUGCAAAGCUAGAUAUCGGUAGGGGAUAGUGGAAUUCCUAGUGUAGAGGUGAAAUUCGUAGAUAUUAGGAGGAACACCAGAGGCGAAGGCGGCUAUCUGGACCGAUCAUGACGCUAAAGUGCGAAAGCGUGGGGAGCAAACAGG